UACGUAGGGUGCGAGCGUUGUCCGGAAUUAUUGGGCGUAAAGGGCUCGUAGGCGGUUUGUCGCGUCGGGAGUGAAAUCCACUGGCUUAACUGGUGGCUUGCUUUCGAUACGGGCAGACCUGGAGGUAUGCAGGGGAGAACGGAAUUCCUGGUGUAGCGGUGAAAUGCGCCAGAUAUCAGGAGGAACACCGGUGGCGAAGGCGGUUCUCUGGGCAUGUCCUGACGCUGAGGAGCGAAAGUGUGGGGAGCGAACAGG
rnacentral:rRNA from 1 species